rnacentral:tRNA from 1 species
GCUGGCAUAGCUCAACGGUAGAGCAACGGUUUUGUAAUCCGUAGGUUGGAGGUUCAAAUCCUCUUGCUAGCU